UACAGAGGUCUCAAGCGUUGUCCGGAUUUAUUGGGCGUAAAGAGCGUGUAGGCGGCCAUACAGGUCAGCUGUGAAAACUCGAGGCUCAACCUCGAGACGUCGGUUGAAACCGUAUGGCUAGAGUCCGGAAGAGGAGAGUGGAAUUCCCGGUGUAGCGGUGAAAUGCGCAGAUAUCGGGAAGAACACCCGUGGCGAAGGCGGCUCUCUGGGACGGUACUGACGCUGAGACGCGAAAG
rnacentral:rRNA from 1 species